rnacentral:rRNA from 1 species
CCUACGGGCGGCUGCAGUGGGGAAUCUUGCGCAAUGGGCGAAAGCCUGACGCAGCGACGCCGCGUGGGGGAAGAAGGCCUUCGGGUUGUAAACCUCUUUCAGCAGGGACGAAGCCACUCGGGUUAAUAGCCCAGAGGGUGACGGUACCUGCAGAAGAAGCCCCGGCUAACUACGUGCCAGCAGCCGCGGUAAUACGUAGGGGGCAAGCGUUGUCCGGAUUUAUUGGGCGUAAAGAGCGUGUAGGCGGCCAGACAAGUCCGUUGUGAAAACUAGAGGCUUAACCUCUAGACGUCGAUGGAAACUGUUUGGCUAGAGUCCGGAAGAGGAGAAUGGAAUUCCUGGUGUAGCGGUGAAAUGCGCAGAUAUCAGGAAGAACACCCGUGGCUAAGGCGGUUCUCUAGUACGGUACUGACGCUGAGACGCGAAAGCGUGGGGAGCGAACAGGCUUAGAUACCCCUGUAGUC